UGCAGCAGCUAUAUAACUGUCAUGCUGUAAAAUAACUUAGAUGAGCACAGCAGAGAUGCUCAACACGUAGCCGUACGUAACCUGAUAGUGCUGGAACAACGGGGAGACUUGGACUUUGUGCAGUGGUUUGUUGCCAGCACUAUAUAUUUGCCAGCUCAGGACAAAGCGACAAUACAUCAGUCUUCCACUCAAAGCUCUACAGUGAAUUCCACAGGAUCACCAGUCAGAAUCUACCAUUUUCCUUCUUUGCUGCUCUUGACAAAUACACACCUCAGCUGCUAAAGCUCUAUAAAAAUUGGAAGACUGGCAUUUGGGGUGAGAAGAUGGGAGAACUUCUGAUGGCAUAUGAAGAGCAGGACAAAAACAAUAUCAGUGCAGCUAGAACAGCAGCCCUGGCUGGCCUACCGCUGUACUUGAAGGAGAAUUCAUCAGAAAUCUUCAAAACUUGCAAGGAUGAGUUGGAGGCAACCCAAGAGGGAGCAGUGGCUCUAGUGGCAGUAGUCAGUGAAAAGGAGGUCCUUGCAUGAAUUUCCUUUGAAACUUGCCAUGUGUCAAUCGUCCUCGAGGAUCAGGUCGUAAUGUCUCACAGAUCUCAGUCAGAUUCACUGAUCAUUUUAUUUGGACUGAUCUAUGCUCUCCAUUUGAGCUACCCUGAGAAGCUAAGUGGCUUCUUUGAGUUCAUACAGGUUGUCCUCUUAAAUCUUGAUGAUGGUAGGAAGCAGCUCCAACCAAAGUUACAGGCCUUGAGAAAUGAACUGGAAUGAACCUUGUUAGCAUGUUGUUGUUUUUUUGUUCGCCAGUGUAUGAAAAUUUAUGUUUUUGUUUUGAUGCAAAAAAAAAUUGGAAACAAGAGCAAGUUCUGGGCAUUUUACUUAGAGUCCUGCCCAUACACAUUAAACUAUGGCCACUAGGUUGAUAUCUAGCCUGUGUAUUUAAACGGGUGAUGCUCAGAUCGCUCAGUGAGAAGACGUCUAGUCUUUCAUAGUCAAUUUCUGCUUUGUUUUUAUUUUUAUACUUUCUGUAUUAUCACAUACUCAUAUUGUUGAGUAUGCUGUGGCCUUUGGGAUUUCAUAUCUCAAGUGCCUUCUUCAGGAACUCUUCAUAGUAUAAUUGUCUUGUGUAAUUUAAAUUUUAUUACAUAGCUUUAUGACCUUUUACUAGAGAAGUGUACCCUUAGAUUUGGAAAAUUUGACAUGUUUCUUGGAACAUAAAGGAAAUAGCUUUGGAAUACUAUAGGCAUUUCAUAAUUUUA